rnacentral:lncRNA from 1 species
CCCCCCCCCCCCAACUCCGUCAAACUCUUGUAGAGCUUUGUAAAGCCAGAUGUCUUUGAAUUGUAUAUCCAUUGGAUAAUUGGAGUUUUAUUGAUUCUCGUUUUGGCUACAAUUAACUGUACCUGAGAUUAGAGGAUUCAUAAACCCUAACUACACAAAACUGCUUCCUUCAACUAUGCUGUGAACUUUGGAGUGGCUAUAAAUUAGGGGCAUCACAGUUUCACCAUUUGCCGCACCCUCAACUAAAUUGGUUUUCAACAUAACUCCCUGUUCCUCCGCAAAAUAGAUUAAUCUAGAAUAGACAGGCUGUCUUCAUAAGCAUUUAACAGCUUGAUCAAGUACAUGUUGAUCACAUUGCCAAACACUCUAAUUUCUGAUCUUGAAGCUUCAACUUGCAAGAUGGACAUGGCUUUGAUAUAACAUGGAUUCUAAUGUAAUUAACAUAAUUUUAGCAUCUUACUCUUUCUUUACUGUCUAGAGCUGCCAGUUGUCCCCACCACUGUAGAAAAUUUGAAUUGUGACUACCCACCACCAUGAUCCCUCUUAAUGACUGCUCAUGUUUUUCAGGCUUGACAGCAAGCACGAUAAGUUAUCCUUUGGAGGUUGCAAGAAAACGGCUUAUGGUAGGAGCUUUGCAAGGUAAAUGUCCACCCCACAUGGCAGCUGCACUUUCGGAAGUUGUUAAGAACGAAGGUAUUAAGGGCCUAUACAGAGGAUGGGCUGCAAGUUGCUUGAAAGUCAUGCCUAACUCAGGUGUCUCAUGGAUUUUCUAUGAGGCCUGGAAAGAUAUAUUGCUUGCAGAGAGACGUCCUUUAUGAAAAUCUUGCUGAAUGCAAGGAAUUUUGUGUUGAAUGUCAACCCACAGCAAGCAACAAGGAUCUGAAAGCCUGUGCCAGCUGGUGGGAGAAGAGCUCUGGUGGUGUUGGUACCAUAUUAAUGUGGACCAGCACAAUUUCUUUUUUUGAGAUGUAACAAUGUAUAAAUAAGCCACAUGAAGAGUCGAAUUUGAUCUUUAGCUUUUGAUCCCCCGGAAAUCAAUCUGAAAUUGCAUUCCUGUAGACUUUACUGUAAUCCUGAAGAAGAAAAAUUAUAGAAACGAAGUCCAUUUGACUAUGAAAUUGAUUGACAGGCAUGCAACUUGGAGUUUAUUAACUGUCAUUGGUUUUGUAACCAUUGAAUUUACGAAAGGCUUGGUACGGAACAUGUUCAAUAUUGCCCCUUGUAUCUUCAGCAGAUUGGUAGUGGUGGCUAAACUCUAGAUUCGG